CCUACGGGAGGCAGCAGUGAGGAAUAUUGGUCAAUGGUCGGGAGACUGAACCAGCCAAGCCGCGUGAGGGAUGAAGGUACAGCGUAUCGUAAACCUCUUUUGUCGGGGAACAAAGGCGGGGACGUGUCCCCGCUUGAGUGUACCUGGAGAAAAAGCAUCGGCUAACUCCGUGCCAGCAGCCGCGGUAAUACGGGGGAUGCGAGCGUUAUCCGGAUUUAUUGGGUUUAAAGGGUGCGCGGGGGGUCGUUACAGUCGGCGGUAAAAGCCCGGGGCUCAACCCCGCCCCGCCGUUGAAACUGGCAGUCUUGAGUUGGAGAGAAGUAUGCGGAAUGCGCGGUGUAGCGGUGAAAUGCAUAGAUAUCGCGCAGAACUCCGAUUGCGAAGGCAGCAUGCCGGCUCCAAACUGACGCUGAGGCACGAAAGCGUGGGUAUCGAACAGGAUUAGAUACCCCUGUAGUC
rnacentral:rRNA from 1 species